rnacentral:rRNA from 1 species
CUUCGGUGGUGGAUUAGUGGCGAACGGGUGAGUAACACGUGGGCAAUCUGCCCUGCACUCUGGGACAAGCCCUGGAAACGGGGUCUAAUACCGGAUACGAGCUCCUGCCGCAUGGUGGGGGUUGGAAAGCUCCGGCGGUGCAGGAUGAGCCCGCGGCCUAUCAGCUUGUUGGUGAGGUAACGGCUCACCAAGGCGACGACGGGUAGCCGGCCUGAGAGGGCGACCGGCCACACUGGGACUGAGACACGGCCCAGACUCCUACGGGAGGCAGCAGUGGGGAAUAUUGCACAAUGGGCGCAAGCCUGAUGCAGCGACGCCGCGUGAGGGAUGACGGCCUUCGGGUUGUAAACCUCUUUCAGCAGGGAAGAAGCGCAAGUGACGGUACCUGCAGAAGAAGCGCCGGCUAACUACGUGCCAGCAGCCGCGGUAAUACGUAGGGCGCAAGCGUUGUCCGGAAUUAUUGGGCGUAAAGAGCUCGUAGGCGGCUUGUCGCGUCGGUUGUGAAAGCCCGGGGCUUAACCCCGGGUCUGCAGUCGAUACGGGCAGGCUAGAGUUCGGUAGGGGAGAUCGGAAUUCCUGGUGUAGCGGUGAAAUGCGCAGAUAUCAGGAGGAACACCGGUGGCGAAGGCGGAUCUCUGGGCCGAUACUGACGCUGAGGAGCGAAAGCGUGGGGAGCGAACAGGAUUAGAUACCCUGGUAGUCCACGCCGUAAACGGUGGGCACUAGGUGUGGGCCACAUUCCACGUGGUCCGUGCCGCAGCUAACGCAUUAAGUGCCCCGCCUGGGGAGUAC